rnacentral:rRNA from 1 species
CCUACGGGAGGCAGCAGUGAGGAAUAUUGGUCAAUGGCCGUAAGGCUGAACCAGCCAAGUAGCGUGAGGGAAGACUGCCCUAUGGGUUGUAAACUUCUUUUAUGCGGGGAUAAAGGUGGCCACGUGUGGAUGUUUGCAGGUACCGCAUGAAUAAGGACCGGCUAAUUCCGUGCCAGCAGCCGCGGUAAUACGGAAGGUCCGGGCGUUAUCCGGAUUUAGUGGGUUUAAAGGGAGCGUAGGCCGGUCUUUAAGCGUGCCGUGAAAUUUUGUGGCUCAACCAUGGGAGUGCGGCGCGAACUGGAGACCUUGAGUGCGCGGAAGGCAGGCGGAAUUCGUGGUGUAGCGGUGAAAUGCUUAGAUAUCACGAAGAACCCCGAUUGCGAAGGCAGCCUGUCGCAGCGUUACUGACGCUGAAGCUCGAAAGCGCGGGUAUCGAACAGGAUUAGAUACCCUGGUAGUC